UCUGACUUUGAUCACCAGAACUGGGCUAAAGGAAAGGCCCGAUGCUGGUGCCAGAGACACUUGUAUUCAUAUCAACUUUGGAGCUCAAAAGCGAUGGAACAAUGAAAUAUGUGGAAGGAGCUUGCCCUCGGUGUGCUCCCUGAGACUCCUGCCUCUUCGCCAGACUAUACACUAAAAGCAGCAAUGCUAUUCUGUAGUGUCUGCAUCCUUAAUACUUCAUUGUAACGUCAAAUACUUUGUUGCUGUUAAAUGAAGUCUCAGUUACUACACAAAUGUUGACGAAUUGUUUGCAGCCAAUAAAAUGUGGACACUA